rnacentral:rRNA from 1 species
GGAGGAAAGCAGGGGAUCGCAAGACCUUGCGCUAAAGGAGCGGCCGAUGUCUGAUUAGCUAGUUGGUGGGGUAAAGGCUUACCAAGGCAACGAUCAGUAGUUGGUCUGAGAGGACGGCCAACCACACUGGGACUGAGACACGGCCCAGACUCCUACGGGAGGCAGCAGUGGGGAAUUUUGGACAAUGGGCGAAAGCCUGAUCCAGCCAUGCCGCGUGAGUGAAGAAGGCCUUCGGGUUGUAAAGCUCUUUUAGUCGGAAAGAAAGAGUUGCAAUGAAUAAUUGUGAUUUAUGACGGUACCGACAGAAAAAGCACCGGCUAACUACGUGCCAGCAGCCGCGGUAAUACGUAGGGUGCGAGCGUUAAUCGGAAUUACUGGGCGUAAAGGGUGCGCAGGCGGUCUUGCAAGUCAGAUGUGAAAGCCCCGGGCUUAACCUGGGAAUUGCGUUUGAAACUACAAGGCUAGA